GUGAACGCUGGCGGUAGGCCUAACACAUGCAAGUCGCACGGCAGCACAGGAGAGCUUGCUCUCUAGGUGGCGAGUGGCGGACGGGUGAGGAAUACAUCGGAAUCUGCCCAGUCGUGGGGGAUAACGUAGGGAAACUUACGCUAAUACCGCAUACGACCUUCGGGUGAAAGAGGGGGAUCGCAAGACCUCUCGCGAUUGGAUGAGCCGAUGUCGGAUUAGCUAGUUAGCGGGGUAAUGGCCCACCAAGGCGACGAUCCGUAGCUGGUCUGAGAGGAUGAUCAGCCACACUGGAACUGAGACACGGUCCAGACUCCUACGGGAGGCAGCAGUGGGGAAUAUUGGACAAUGGGCGCAAGCCUGAUCCAGCCAUACCGCGUGGGUGAAGAAGGCCUUCGGGUUGUAAAGCCCUUUUGUUGGGAAAGAAAUCUUUCAGGCUAAUACCCUGGGAGGAUGACGGUACCCAAAGAAUAAGCACCGGCUAACUUCGUG
rnacentral:rRNA from 1 species